AUGAACGCUGGCGGCGUGCCUAAUACAUGCAAGUCGAGCGAACAGACGAGGAGCUUGCUCCUCUGACGUUAGCGGCGGACGGGUGAGUAACACGUGGAUAACCUACCUAUAAGACUGGGAUAACUUCGGGAAACCGGAGCUAAUACCGGAUAAUAUAUUGAACCGCAUGGUUCAAUAGUGAAAGACGGUUUUGCUGUCACUUAUAGAUGGAUCCGCGCCGCAUUAGCUAGUUGGUAAGGUAACGGCUUACCAAGGCAACGAUGCGUAGCCGACCUGAGAGGGUGAUCGGCCACACUGGAACUGAGACACGGUCCAGACUCCUACGGGAGGCAGCAGUAGGGAAUCUUCCGCAAUGGGCGAAAGCCUGACGGAGCAACGCCGCGUGAGUGAUGAAGGUCUUCGGAUCGUAAAACUCUGUUAUUAGGGAAGAACAAAUGUGUAAGUAACUAUGCACGUCUUGACGGUACCUAAUCAGAAAGCCACGGCUAACUACGUA
rnacentral:rRNA from 1 species